rnacentral:rRNA from 1 species
GAUACCUGUGGUAAUUCUAGAGCUAAUACAUGCCCUGGUUAAGUCGCCCUCACGGGUGGCUUGCAAUUAUUAGACCAAAACUAACUCGGCGCUUCGGUGUCGGUCUGUUUACUGGUAACUCUGGAUAAUUAGUACUAUCGCACGAUCUUGUGUCGGCGAUAUGGUCGAUAUUUGUCUGCCCUAUCAACCUGAUGUUUGGCAACCGCCUUACCAAGGUGAUAACGGGUAACGGGGAAUCAGGGUUCGAUUCCGGAGAGUGAGCCUGAAAAACAGCUAACACAUCCAAGGAAGGCAGCAGGCGCGCAAAUUACCCACUUCCGAAAGGGAGAGGUAGUGAGCAUAAAUAACGAUGCGGGUGUCUUUCUGAGGCCCCGUAAUCGGAAUGAGACCACUUUAAAUCCUUUAACGAGGAACAAUUGGAGGGCAAGUCUGGUGCCAGCAGCCGCGGUAAUUCCAGCUCCAAUAGCGUAUAUUAAAAUUGUUGCAGUUAAAAAGCUCGUAGUUGGAUCUAAGGAUUUGGUCCGGGAGGUCUACCUUUUGGUGGGCUAACUGGCCAGCCUUUAUAGUCGUGGUCGGUUUGGGUGUUCUUAACUGAGCGCUCUUACUGCCCGGCGAAAUUACUUUGAGAAAAUUAAAGUGCUUAAAGCAGGCAUAUGCUUGUAUAUUGUUGCAUGGAAUAAUGGAAUAGGAGUUCGCUUCUAUUUUGUUGGUUUUCGAAUCGAACUAAUGAUUAACAGGGACAUUUGUGGACAUACGUAUGUACGGGCGAGGGGUGAAAUCCGUUGACCCUGUACAGACGACCUACAGCGAAAGCAUUUGUCAGGAAUGUUUUCAUUAAUCAAGAACGAAAGUCAGAGGUUCGAAGACGAUCAGAUACCGUCCUAGUUCUGACCAUAAAUGAUGCCAUCUUGCAAUCCUGAUACCUGUUUCUACAGGUGGAAGGGGCUGCCCCCGGGAAACCAAAGAUUUUGGGUUCCGGGGGAAGUAUGGUUGCAAAGCUGAAACUUAAAGGAAUUGACGGAAGGGCACACAAGGAGUGGAUCCUGCGGCUUAAUUUGACUCAACACGGGGAACCUCACCCGGCCAGGACACUUAAAGGAUUGACAGAUUGACAGCUCUUUCUUAAUCAGGUGAUUGGUGGUGCAUGGCCGUUCUUAGUUGGUGGAGUGAUUUGUCUGGUUAAUUCCGAUAACGAACGAGACUCAAACCUGCUAAAUAGAGUUUAAGUUACAUUGAAAGAGCUUGAAAGACUUCUUAGAGGGAUUUAUGACAUAUAGUCAUAAGAGAGUGAGCAAUAACAGGUCUGUGAUGCCCUUAGAUGUUUGGGGCAGCACGCGGGCUACAAUGAGUAGUUCGCAGAGUAGUCAUUCCUUACUUGAAAUGGUUGGGAAACCUGAGGUAACCUUAAGCCAAAGUCUGGAUAAGGAUUUGCAAUUAUUUCCUUUGAAGCAGGAAUUCCUCGUAAUCUUACUUUAUCAGAGUGAGAUGAAUACGUCCCUGCCCUUUGUACACACCGCCCGUCGCUACUACCGAUUGAAUGUUUUAGGGAGGUCUUAGGACGGGAGCGGACGGACCGGCG